rnacentral:rRNA from 1 species
UACGAAGGGGGCUAGCGUUGCUCGGAAUCACUGGGCGUAAAGGGUGCGUAGGCGGGUCUUUAAGUCAGGGGUGAAAUCCUGGAGCUCAACUCCAGAACUGCCUUUGAUACUGAAGAUCUUGAGUUCGGGAGAGGUGAGGUGGAACUGCGAGUGUAGAGGUGAAAUUCGUAGAUAUUCGCAAGAACACCAGUGGCGAAGGCGGCUCACUGGCCCGAUACUGACGCUGAGGCACGAAAGC